CGGGCGUCCUCACAAAUUACCUGCAUUCAGAGAUUCAUACCGGCACAGGUCGGUAUGCGAAGUCCCUUUUGGGGCCUUAGCUCAGCUGGGAGAGCACCUGCUUUGCAAGCAGGGGGUCGUCGGUUCGAUCCCGACAGGCUCCACCAUAUUGAGUGAAAAGACUUCGGGUCUGUAGCUCAGGUGGUUAGAGCGCACCCCUGAUAAGGGUGAGGUCGGUAGUUCGAGUCUACCCAGACCCACCACUCUGAAUGUAGUGCACACUUAAGAAUUUAUAUGGAUCAGCGUUGAGGCUGAGACAUGUUCUUUUAUAACUUGUGACGUAGCGAGCGUUUGAGAUAUCUAUCUAAACGUGUCGUUGAGGCUAAGGCGGGGACUUCGAGUCCCUAAAUAAUUGAGUCGUAUGUUCGCGUUGGUGGCUUUGUACCCCACACAACACGUACAUGUAGCUCCGAGGCAACUUGGGGUUAUAUGGUCAAGCGAAUAAGCGCACACGGUGGAUGCCUAGGCGGUCAGAGGCGAUGAAGGACGUGGUAGCCUGCGAAAAGUGUCGGGGAGCUG
rnacentral:misc_RNA from 5 species